rnacentral:rRNA from 1 species
UGGGGAAUCUUGCGCAAUGGGCGAAAGCCUGACGCAGCCAUGCCGCGUGAAUGCUGAAGGUCUUAGGACUGUAAAAUUCUUUCACCGGGGACGAUAAUGACGGUACCCGGAGAAGAAGCCCCGGCUAACUCCGUGCCAGCAGCCGCGGUAAUACGAAGGGGGCUAGCGUUGCUCGGAAUUACUGGGCGUAAAGGGAGCGUAGGCGGACAUUUAAGUCAGGGGUGAAAUCCCGGGGCUCAACCUCGGAAUUGCCUUUGAUACUGGGUGUCUUGAGUGUGAGAGAGGUAUGUGGAACUCCGAGUGUAGAGGUGAAAUUCGUAGAUAUUCGGAAGAACACCAGUGGCGAAGGCGACAUACUGGCUCAUUACUGACGCUGAGGCUCGAAAGCGUGGGGAGCAAACA